rnacentral:lncRNA from 1 species
UCUAAGCUUCAUAGUGAGCUCCUGUUUUAAAAGGAAAAAAGAAGCAAUUAUUUUAUAGAAUGAUUCUUCAUUUGACUUCAUGUUGUCUCUUAUGGAAAUAGAAUUUAAAACUAAAUGAGUUGUUCCAAGCCAACAAGGACUUUGUAGUUUGACCUUGUCUCAGAAAAAGAAAGGAAAAAAACAAAAACAGAAUCUAAAAACAUUAUAGGUUUUAGGUGGAUUAUCUCUGAAAACAUGUAAGUCACAAUAGUGAUUGCCUAUGUUAAAAUAUUGGAGAUCAGUGGCACAUAUGGCCCUAUUGAGUAGGGCUAGGGCAGUAUCAUACACAAAUCCUUGGAUUUGAUUUCUAGUGCCUUACAUUGGCUAGGUAUGGUGGCUCAUGCCUCUAGGAUCAGAAGUUCAAGGUACGACCGUCCUACUUAAGUAGUUUCUGACCAACCUGGGAUUUACAAAACCCUGGCUUAUAAAAGCAGAGAGGGCCAGGCAUGGUUGCACAUGUCUUUAAUCCCAACGCUCAGAGAUAUGGCAGGGUGGCCAUAUCUCUGUAAAUUCAAGGCUGGCCAAGACACAAAGACUGUUUUUCAAAAGAAAAGAAAAAAUAAAAUUGGCUAAAGGAUGUAAUGAUACUGUUAUUGUAUGUAUAUUUAAGUUUUAUUUAACUCAUGGUUUAAGCUUUUAAAUUACUCAAGUUAGUUUAAAGUCUUACAGAGGAAUCCUAAAUCAACCUUUUCUAUAACUGUGAAUAAAGAAAGGCUCAGAGUAAUUGGGAAAUGUUGAAAUAGGAGAGCAGGGAUGCUUGCCAAUAUUGUUAUGACAGAAUGAAAGAGAAGUAUAAAAAUACAUUUCAAGCCACUUCAGCUUUGCUGCCUUUAAAGUAUAAUUCUAAAUGUCAUUCUAAGACGUUAUUUCUUUUGUUUGUUUUGGGGAGGCAGGGUCUCAAAGCAGUUUCUCUUUAGCCCUAGCUGUCCUAGGACUCACUCUGUAUAUCAAGCUGGCCUCAAACUCGGAGAUCUGCAUGUUUCUGCUUCCUGAGUCCUGGGACUAAAAGCAUGUACCUCCAUUGCCUGGCAUCUUUUUAAAAUAAGGUCUUUGGUUCAAACUGGCUUUGAACUCACUAUGUAGCCUGGGGUGGCCUUAAACUCCAGAUCAUCCUGUCUUAGCCUCUUUAGUGCUAGGAUUUAAAGGCAUGCACCACCACUGCAUUUCUAAUACUAAAAUAUUUACUAUAGGUUUUCUUUGGGGUGGGGAGUGAUGGGCCUGAGAUAUAUUUUUAUGGUGCAUGUGUGAGUAUCUGCCUGGAGACAACACUCUACCUGUUCCUUUUGAAUAGCAAGGUUACUUUCUGAACCUUGAGCUAGAAUAUUUUAGCUAGUCAGGAAGCCAGCAAGCCUCAGACAGGCACUUUCCACCUCCCUUAUGCUAAAUGAUGUACAGACUUGACAUAGGACACUCAGCCUUUACCUGAGUGCUGGGACAGAAACUCCAACUUAUAUGCUUGUACAGCAAGGAGAUGAUAACCACUGAGUCUUCUCUUUGUAUUCUUAGUAGAGUUUUAUUUAAAACAUUUCUAUGCAAAACUCAGUUCUAAUCUCCGAUGUUUGAGUAUGUUUAUCAACUAACUAUUAAGAGAAGGUGAAUGUCAACACUAGAAAAACUGAUGGUUACUUUAACCAAUUGAUAUCUAGGUAUAGAAAUAUAUCUAGAGGGCUGGUGAGAUGGCUCAGUGGGUAAGAGCACCCGACUGCUCUUCCAAAGGUCCAGAGUUCAAAUCCACAUGGUGGCUCACAACCAUCUGUAACGAGAUCUGACGCCCUCUUCUGUCUGAAGACAGCUACAGUGUACUUACAUGUAAUAAAUAAAU